GCGCCUCAGUGAGAGACUUUCUGCUUUGUAUGCAGAAGGUGCCAGGUUCAAUCCCUGACAGGAGCU